rnacentral:rRNA from 2 species
GGCGUGCUUAACACAUGCAAGUCGAACGAUGAAGCCCUUCGGGGUGGAUUAGUGGCGAACGGGUGAGUAACACGUGGGCAAUCUGCCCUGCACUCUGGGACAAGCCCUGGAAACGGGGUCUAAUACCGGAUACCACCCUCUUCCGCAUGGGAGGGGGUUGAAAGCUCCGGCGGUGCAGGAUGAGCCCGCGGCCUAUCAGCUUGUUGGUGGGGUGAUGGCCUACCAAGGCGACGACGGGUAGCCGGCCUGAGAGGGCGACCGGCCACACUGGGACUGAGACACGGCCCAGACUCCUACGGGAGGCAGCAGUGGGGAAUAUUGCACAAUGGGCGAAAGCCUGAUGCAGCGACGCCGCGUGAGGGAUGACGGCCUUCGGGUUGUAAACCUCUUUCAGCAGGGAAGAAGCGAAAGUGACGGUACCUGCAGAAGAAGCGCCGGCUAACUACGUGCCAGCAGCCGCGGUAAUACGUAGGGCGCAAGCGUUGUCCGGAAUUAUUGGGCGUAAAGAGCUCGUAGGCGGCUUGUCGCGUCGGAUGUGAAAGCCCGGGGCUUAACCCCGGGUCUGCAUUCGAUACGGGCAGGCUAGAGUGUGGUAGGGGAGAUCGGAAUUCCUGGUGUAGCGGUGAAAUGCGCAGAUAUCAGGAGGAACACCGGUGGCGAAGGCGGAUCUCUGGGCCAUUACUGACGCUGAGGAGCGAAAGCGUGGGGAGCGAACAGGAUUAGAUACCCUGGUAGUCCACGCCGUANACGUUGG